rnacentral:rRNA from 1 species
CAUGCCUAACACAUGCAAGUCGAACGAGACCUUCGGGUCUAGUGGCGCACGGGUGCGUAACGCGUGGGAAUCUGCCCUUGGGUUCGGAAUAACUCAGAGAAAUUUGAGCUAAUACCGGAUGAUGUCGAAAGACCAAAGAUUUAUCGCCCGAGGAUGAGCCCGCGUAGGAUUAGCUAGUUGGUGAGGUAAAGGCUCACCAAGGCGACGAUCCUUAGCUGGUCUGAGAGGAUGAUCAGCCACACUGGGACUGAGACACGGCCCAGACUCCUACGGGAGGCAGCAGUGGGGAAUAUUGGACAAUGGGCGCAAGCCUGAUCCAGCAAUGCCGCGUGAGUGAUGAAGGCCCUAGGGUUGUAAAGCUCUUUUACCCGGGAUGAUAAUGACAGUACCGGGAGAAUAAGCCCCGGCUAACUCCGUGCCAGCAGCCGCGGUAAUACGGAGGGGGCUAGCGUUGUUCGGAAUUACUGGGCGUAAAGCGCACGUAGGCGGCUUUGUAAGUUAGAGGUGAAAGCCUGGAGCUCAACUUCAGAAUAGCCUUUAAGACUGCAUCGCUUGAAUCCAGGAGAGGUGAGUGGAAUUCCGAGUGUAGAGGUGAAAUUCGUAGAUAUUCGGAAGAACACCAGUGGCGAAGGCGGCUCACUGGACUGGUAUUGACGCUGA